GACAGAGGGUGCAAGCGUUGUUCGGAAUUACUGGGCGUAAAGCGCGUGUAGGCGGCACGGCAAGUCGGAUGUGAAAGCCCGCGGCUCAACCGUGGAAGUGCACUCGAAACUGCCGAGCUAGAGUCUCGGAGAGGAAGGUGGAAUGCUUGGUGUAGAGGUGAAAUUCGUAGAUAUCAAGCAGAACACCUGUGGCGAAGGCGGCCUUCUGGACGAUGACUGACGCUGAGACGCGAAAGCGUGGGGAGCAAACAGG
rnacentral:rRNA from 1 species